rnacentral:tRNA from 1 species
GGUCGGGUAGCCGAGUGUUUAGGCGGCGGGUUGUAGCCCUGAAGACAGAGGUUUAAGUCCUCUCCCCACCA